CAAAACCCCAAGCAUUCACAUUGGGCAGCUGCUUCUGCAACAUGUGGUGACUACGGGGGCAUGUCCUGAAGCACCGGUCAGGAGGUAGAAGGCAUCACAGGAAACAAGCACUUUCGAUGGAAACUGAAGGCGGCAGCUAGCAGCGCAGACAAGCUGUACAACACUUUGCUCCGAAAUGUUCUGAGAGACGAAGUCUGAAGUCUAAUUCACACAGAUAAUGAUUUGCUUGUAAGAAUUCAUCAUUAGCUUGUCUAGAGGUGAUCCAGUCAACUUUUAACGCAUUUUGACGGUA